rnacentral:lncRNA from 1 species
GGGUCUCCAUUUCCCUUGUGUCCAGCCAACUAAUCUCUCACCCAGGCAGGCAAGGAGAGAGACUCCAGCACAGGCUGGGAUGCUGGGAAGCGGGGCCUGGUUCUUUGCUGUGGGAAUGGAAGACAGAGCACUCGAGUCCAUAUCUUUGGUGACAGCAGCUUUGGGAAAUGAGGGGCAAUUGGGGUGACAGUUAAUUUUACACAUCAGCUUGGCUGGGCCACAGGAUGUUCAGAAACUACUGAAUGAUACAGAUCUCCAAAAUAAGGAAGCAAACCUAGAAAAAGAAAGACAUGGGACCCAAGAAUCCCACCAAGAA